CUACCAAGCUAAGCUUUCAAAGGAAAAUUCACUUACUCUACAUCAAACAUAAUUUACCAUUUUACUCCCACUGAGUACAGGAUAAAAGUUUUCAAGAUUUUUGAUUGUAAUGAAUCGGUUUCACACUCAUGCAAAUUUACCAACAAAAUUUAUUUGAAAAUACUCAGUAGCUCAUUUUGCUACCACAAAAAUAUGUAAUAUAAAGGAAUUUUUGACAACAAUGGAAUUUCCUUAUGAGAAAUAAAAAUAUAAAAAAAAAACAAAUAUAAAGAGAAUAGGUGUGUGCGUGUGUGUGUGUACGAGCAUAAUAGCAAAAGUGCUGGCACAGGGAGACUUUCAAGUUUAAGACUCAAAAGAUGUGGGAGCUGGUUUUGGAAUAUUCCGUACUGAUAUAUGCGGUUCACACUCAAACGAUGCCAUCGACAAUGUGUUCUCAUUUAAAACACUGCUAGUCUGCAGAUAUGCAAU